AGAGUUUGAUCAGUGGCUCAGAAUGAACGCUGGCGGCGUGCCUAACACAUGCAAGUCGAGCGAGAAAGUCUCUUCGGAGAUAAGUACAGCGGCGGACGGGUGAGUAACGCGUGAGAAUUUACCCUUUAGUGAAGAAUACCUCUGAGAAAUCAGGGUUAAUACUGCAUACGUCCCUACGGGGAGAAAGGUGGCCUCUUUGCUGCCGCUAAAGGAUAAGCUUGCGUACUAUUAGCUAGUUGGUGAGGUAAAGGCUCACCAAGGCGAUGAUGGUUAGCCGGCCUGAGAGGGUGUACGGCCACACUGGAACUUAGACACGGUCCAGACUCCUACGGGAGGCAGCAGUGAGGAAUAUUGCGCAAUGGGCGAAAGCCUGACGCAGCGACGCCGCGUGGAGGAUGAAGGUCUUCGGAUUGUAAACUCCUGUUAAGUGGGAAGAAAGACCUAUUUCUAAUACAGAUAGGGGAUGACGGUACCAUUAGAGAAAGCACCGGCUAACUUCGUG
rnacentral:rRNA from 1 species